UCGAUGUUAUCUAUGGUGGUUCCCCCAAAAAAUAAAAACAGAAAAUUAAAAUGUUUCUUUAAGUUAGUUCUUAAGGUUAGGUUAUUAUGUACUACUUAUUUUUUGGCUCUGUAAUUGUAUUUCUGAAUUAAUUUCCUCAAUGAUUAUGCUAAUUUCUAUUUAAUACAUUUUGAAAUGGAGCUAAAUUUUGGUCACUAGAGUUUGGUUCAUUUGGAAGUGUUUAUUUUCACUUACUCGGUCCACAAUGUCUGAUGCUUGGCAAGAAAUCCAAGCAAUAAAAAAUAAGAGGAAUAGUCUUCGAGAAAAAUUACAAAAGAGAAAGAAGGAGAGACAAGAUAUCUUGAAUCUUUCAGAUUCGGCUAAUGUAGUUUCACCUCUUAGUAAGGUUCUACAUACAGAAGGAGGGGGGAGUAGCGUGCCAUCACCUGUGGCUGUAAAAGUUGGUAAGUUGUUUUUAUGUAAU